GGUGGCUCAGUGGUAGAGUGCUUGCCUUGCAUGCAUGAGGCCCUGGGUUUGGUUUCUCAGCACCA
rfam:Dipodomys ordii contig_15081, whole genome shotgun sequence.